UACAGAGGGUGCGAGCGUUAUUCGGAAUUACUGGGCGUAAAGCGUGCGUAGACGGUUAUUUAAGUCGGAUGUGAAAGCCCCGGGCUCAACCUGGGAAUUGCAUUCGAGACUGAAUAGCUAGGGUACGGUAGAGGGAAGCGGAAUUUCCGGUGUAGCGGUGAAAUGCGCAGAUAUCAGGAGGAACACCGGUGGCGAAGGCGGGUCUCUGGGCCGUAACUGACGCUGAGGAGCGAAAGCGUGGGGAGCAAACAGG
rnacentral:rRNA from 1 species